rnacentral:tRNA from 1 species
GUCAGGAUGGCCGAGUGGUCUGAGGCGCCAGGUUCGCACUUUGCCCGCGGGCGUUCUGGUCUCCGCGUGGAGGCUGGGUUCGAAUCCCACUUCUGACA